rnacentral:lncRNA from 1 species
CUUUGAGCAAGAGGACAAACCUGGGUAGGGAUCUCUAUGAUGUUUUCUGCGUUGCCCGUGGACGUUCAUCUUUCUGAUUUGUUAGCUGAAGAUGAGGAUCUGGAGCAGGAGCUCGGAGUGCCAUUGUUCCAUGGGCAGAUGUGCAGCAGAGAUUGUUGAGCUUGCCUGGCCCAAGGCACAGAGUUCUGGGAAGGAUGGAAGAGAGGGGAAGGGAGAGCACCAACAUCACGGACCGCCUUUCACAUCAGCGGCAGCAGCAGUAAAACCCCCAGAAAACCUGGGGUAGGCGUGGGGGUCUGUUUAGAUCAGCC